CCUACGGGAGGCAGCAGUGGGGAAUAUUGGGCAAUGGGCGCAAGCCUGACCCAGCAACGCCGCGUGAAGGAAGAAGGCUUUCGGGUUGUAAACUUCUUUUCAGAGGGAAGAGCAGAAGACGGUACCUCUUGAAUAAGCCACGGCUAACUACGUGCCAGCAGCCGCGGUAAUACGUCGGUGGCAAGCGUUGUUCGGAAUCACUGGGCGUAAAGCGUGCGUAGGCUGUUUCGUAAGUCGUGUGUGAAAGGCGCGGGCUCAACCCGCGGACGGCACAGGAUACUGCCUUGCGGGAAUGCGGAUGCCGUGGGAGGAAUGUGUGGUGUAGCAGUGAAAUGCAUAGAUAUCACACAGAACACCGAGUGCGAAGGCAUCUCACGAAUCCGCGAUUGACGCUGAUGCACGAAAGCGUGGGUAUCAAACAGGAUUAGAUACCCUAGUAGUC
rnacentral:rRNA from 1 species